UAGUGUAGCGGUGAAAUGCGUAGAUAUUAGGAGGAACACCAGUGGCGAAGGCGGCCUGCUGGACGACAACUGACGCUGAGGCGCGAAAGCGUGGGGAGCAAACAGGAUUAGAUACCCUGGUAGUCCACGCUGUAAACGAUGAAUACUAGGUGUGGGAGGACUGACCCCUUCCGUGCCGCAGUUAACACAAUAAGUAUUCCACCUGGGGAGUACGACCGCAAGGUUGAAACUCAAAGGAAUUGACGGGGGCCCGCACAAGCAGUGGAUUAUGUGGUUUAAUUCGACGCAACGCGAAGAACCUUACCGGGAUUUGACAUCCUACUAACGAAGUAGAGAUACAUUAGGUGCCCUUCGGGGAAAGUAGAGACAGGUGGUGCAUGGUUGUCGUCAGCUCGUGUCGUGAGAUGUUGGGUUAAGUCCCGCAACGAGCGCAACCCCUAUUGUUAGUUGCUACGCAAGAGCACUCUAGCGAGACUGCCGUUGACAAAACGGAGGAAGGCGGGGACGACGUCAAAUCAUCAUGCCCCUUAUGUCCCGGGCUACACACGUAAUACAAUGGCGGUCAACAGAGGGAAGCAAAGCCGCGAGGCAGAGCAAACCCCUAAAAGCCGUCUCAGUUCGGAUUGCAGGCUGCAACUCGCCUGCAUGAAGUUGGAAUUGCUAGUAAUCGUGGAUCAGCAUGCCACGGUGAAUACGUUCCCGGGCCUUGUACACACCGCCCGUCACACCAUGAGAGCCG
rnacentral:rRNA from 1 species